UUACGGCCAUGUCACGUUGAAACACCGGUUCCCGUACGAUCCACCAAAGUUAAGCAACGUCGAGCUUGAUUAGUACCUAGAUGGGUGACCGCUUGGGAACACCAGGUGCUGUAA